CGGGUGGUGGCGCAGUCCGGUAGCGUACUUGUAUGGGGUGCAAGGGGUCGCUGGUUCGAAUCCAGUCCACCCGA
rnacentral:tRNA from 2 species